rnacentral:rRNA from 1 species
UACGUAGGCAGCAAGCGUUGUUCGGAAUUACUGGGCGUAAAGAGUGUGUAGGCGGUGCUCUAAGUUCGGUGUGAAAUCUCCCGGCUCAACUGGGAGGGUGCGCCGAAAACUGGAGUGCUGGAGCGCGGGAGAGGAAAGCGGAAUUCCUGGUGUAGCGGUGAAAUGCGUAGAUAUCAGGAGGAACACCGGUGGUGUAGACGGCUUUCUGGACCGUAGCUGACGCUGAGACACGAAAGCGUGGGUAGCAAACAGG